UACGUAGGGUGCAGGCGUUAAUCGGAAUUACUGGGCGUAAAGCGUGCGCAGGCGGUCUUUUAAGUCAGGUGUGAAAUCCCCGGGCUUAACCUGGGAAUUGCGCUUGAAACUAGCGGGCUUGAGUGUGGCAGAGGGGGGUGGAAUUCCACGUGUAGCAGUGAAAUGCGUAGAGAUGUGGAGGAACACCGAUGGCGAAGGCAGCCCCCUGGGUCAACACUGACGCUCAUGCACGAAAGCGUGGGGAGCAAACAGG
rnacentral:rRNA from 1 species